GAUGAACGCUGGCGGCGUGCCUAAUACAUGCAAGUCGAGCGAACAGACGAGGAGCUUGCUCCUCUGACGUUAGCGGCGGACGGGUGAGUAACACGUGGAUAACCUACCUAUAAGACUGGGAUAACUUCGGGAAACCGGAGCUAAUACCGGAUAAUAUAUUGAACCGCAUGGUUCAAUAGUGAAAGACGGUUUUGCUGUCACUUAUAGAUGGAUCCGCGCCGCAUUAGCUAGUUGGUAAGGUAACGGCUUACCAAGGCAACGAUGCGUAGCCGACCUGAGAGGGUGAUAGGCCACACUGGAACUGAGACACGGUCCAGACUCCUAAGGGAGGCAGCAGUAGGGAAUCUGCCGCAAUGGGCGAAAGCCUGACGGAGCAACGCCGCGUGAGUGAUGAAGGUCUUCGGAUCGUAAAAAUCUGUUAUUAGGGAAGAACAAAUGUGUAAGUAACUAUGCACGUCUUGACGGUACCUAAUCAGAAAGCCACGGCUAACUACGUG
rnacentral:rRNA from 1 species